rnacentral:rRNA from 1 species
AGUGAACGUUGGCGGCGUGGAUUAGGCAUGCAAGUCGAGCGAUCGUAGCAAUACGGGAGCGGCAAACGGGGUAGGAAUACAUCGGAACGUACCUUUUGGUUGAGAAUAGCGUUGGGAAACUGACGGUAAUACUCAAUAAAGUCGAGAGACCAAAGGUUUACUGCCGGAAGAGCGGCCGAUGCGAUAUUAGGUAGUUGGUGGGGUAAUGGCCUACCAAGCCUGAGAUGUCUAGGGGGUGUGAGAGCAUGGCCCCCACCACUGGGACUGAGAUACUGCCCAGACACCUACGGGUGGCUGCAGUCGAGGAUCUUCGUCAAUGGGCGAAAGCCCUGAACGAGCGACGCCGCGUGCGGGAUGAAGGCCCUUGGGUUGUAAACCGCUGUCAGGGGGGAUGAAACCGUAAGGUUGACAGAGCCCCAGAGGAAGCACGGGCUAAGUUCGUGCCAGCAGCCGCGGUAAU